rnacentral:rRNA from 1 species
UGCGUAGGCGGUCGCGCAAGUCGGAUGUGAAAUCUUAGGGCUCAACCCUGAAACUGCAUUCGAUACUGCGUGGCUCGAGUACUGGAGAGGAGACUGGAAUUUACGGUGUAGCAGUGAAAUGCGUAGAUAUCGUAAGGAAGACCAGUGGCGAAGGCGAGUCUCUGGACAGUUACUGACGCUGAGGCACCAAGGGCCCAGGGGAAGGCAAAACGG